UACGUAGGGGGCAAGCGUUGUCCGGAUUUAUUGGGCGUAAAGAGCGUGUAGGCGGCUUGGUAGGUCUGCUGUGAAAACUCGGGGCUCAACCCCGAGACGUCGGUGGAAACCACCUGGCUAGAGUCCGGAAGAGGAGAGUGGAAUUCCUGGUGUAGCGGUGAAAUGCGCAGAUAUCAGGAGGAACACCAAUAGCGAAGGCAGCUCGCUGGGACGGUACUGACGCUAAGGCGCGAAAGCGUGGGGAGCGAACAGG
rnacentral:rRNA from 1 species